rnacentral:rRNA from 1 species
AACGAACGCUGGCGGCAUGCCUAACACAUGCAAGUCGAACGAAGCCUUCGGGCUUAGUGGCGCACGGGUGCGUAACACGUGGGAAUCUGCCCUUCGGUUCGGAAUAACAGUUAGAAAUGACUGCUAAUACCGGAUGAUGACGAAAGUCCAAAGAUUUAUCGCCGAAGGAUGAGCCCGCGUAGGAUUAGGUAGUUGGUAGGGUAAUGGCCUACCAAGCCGACGAUCCUUAGCUGGUCUGAGAGGAUGAUCAGCCACACUGGGACUGAGACACGGCCCAGACUCCUACGGGAGGCAGCAGUGGGGAAUAUUGGACAAUGGGCGAAAGCCUGAUCCAGCAAUGCCGCGUGAGUGAUGAAGGCCUUAGGGUUGUAAAGCUCUUUUACCAGGGAUGAUAAUGACAGUACCUGGAGAAUAAGCUCCGGCUAACUCCGUGCCAGCAG